UGGAGGAAUCUCCAGAAAAAUUAGGGUAAUUUUCCAAUUGUUGCACGGCUAAAAACUCGCCUAUUGUUGCACACUCCAUGUUAUUCUUAUGAGGUGUGCAACAAUUGGCGAAUUUUUAGCCGUGCAACAAUUGGAAAAUUACCCUAUUGGAGGAAUUCCUUGAGAUUUUUUUUUUGAUAAAUCCCUUGAGAAAUUCCAGGAGGGUUUCCUGGAAAAAUCUUUGGAGGUAUUCCUGGCAAAACCUUUGGAAACUCCCUGGUAUAGUCGUGGAGAAAUCCAUGAAACAAUUCAAGUAGGUAUUCCUGGAGAAUUCUGAAGAAAUCCCUAGAGAAUUUCCAGGAGAAAUUCCUGAAGGAAUUGCUGAUGUAAUAUCUAAAAAAAGUUCAGGAGAAAUUUCUGGAUUAAUUUCUUUGGUAGUUCCCGGAAGAGUUCCUGGAGAAAUUCCUUGAUAAAAUCCCGGAGGCAUUCCUACAGGUAUUCUUGUGUGAAUUGCUGGAGGAAUCCCUGAAGGAAUUUCCGGAAAAAUCUCCAGAGAGAAGCCUGGAGAAAUGUUUGGAGGAACUUCUGAACAAAUUCUUGGCGUAAUCCAUGGAGGAAUCCUUGGAUGAGACUGAGCAGGAAUUUCUGGAGAAAUUCUUGGGAAAAUUACUGGAGGAAUUCUUGGAGCAAUACCCGGAAGAAUUUCUGGAGAAAUCUCCAGAAAAUUUUUUGGAGGAAUUCCUUGAGAUUUUUUUGAUAAAUCCCUUGAGAAAUUCCAGGAGGGUUUCCUGGAAAAAUCUUUGGAAAAUCCCUGGUAAAGUCGUGGAGAAAUCCAUGAAACACUUCAUGUUGAUAUUCCUGGAGAAUUCUGAAGAAAUCCCUACUGAAAUUCCUGUAGAAAUUCCUGGAGGAAUUGCUGAUGUAAUACCUAAAAGACGUCCAGGAGCAAUUUCUGGGGUUGUUCCUGGAGGAGUUCCUGGAGGUAUUCCUUGAAAAAUUCCUUGAUAAAAUCCCGGAGGAAUUCCUAAAGGUAUUCCCGUGUGAAUUGCUGGUGGAAUCCUUUAAGGAAUUUCUUGGAAAAAAUCUCCAGAGAAAAUCCUGGAGAAAUGCUUGGAGGAACUUCUGAACAAAUUCUUGGCGUAAUCCCUGGAAGAAUUCUUGGAUGAGACUCAGCAGGAAUUCCUGGAGAAAUUUUUGGGGAAACUCCAGGUGGAAUUCUUGGAGCAAUACCUGUAAGAAUUUCUGGAGAAACCUCGAGAAAAAAUCUUGGAUGAAUUCCAAGAGAUUUUUUUUAAAUUUACUUGAGAAACUCCAGGAGGAUUUCCUGGGAAAAAUCAUUGGAGGAAUUCGUGGAAAAAUCUUUGGAAAAUUCCUGGUAAAGUCGUGGAGAAAUCCAUGAAACUAUUCAUAUAGGUAUUUCUGGAGAAUUCUGAAGAAAUCCCUAGAGAAAUUCCUGGAGGAAUUGCUGAUGUUAUUUCUGAAAGACAUCCAGGAGGAAUUCCGGGGGGUUGUUCCUGGAGGAGUUUCUGGAGGAAUUCCUUGAUAAAAUCCUGGAGGAAUUCCUACAGUUAUUGCUGUGGGAAUUGCUGGAGGAAUCCCUGGAGAAAUUUCUGGUCGAUUCUCUAGAGGAAUUCAUGAAAGAAUUACUUAAUUGAUGAAUUUCUGGAGGAAUCUCUAAAGGAAUUCAGGGAGAAUUCUAUUCUAUUAGUUUUUAAUUUCUGAAAAACCCACUGAGAAAUUCCUGGAGGAAUUUCUACAGGCAUUUCUGAAGGAAUCCCUAGAAAAACUUCUGACAUAAUUUCUGAAGGAUUUCUAGGAGCAAUUCCUCGAUCAAUUCCUGUAGAAAUUCCUGGAGAAAUGCCUGGAGGAAUUCCUAGAGAUAUUCCUGUGGGAACUGCAGGAGGAAUCCCUGAACGAAUUCCUGUAGGAAUCCUUAGAGGAAUUCUUAAAACAAGAGCAGGCCUGUCCAACCUUUUACGCCCGCGGGCCACAGCUAACACGCCAUACCAAUUGACGGGCCAGGAUUUGAGAUUCGUCUAUGAAACACUUUUUUUCAAAAACUUUUCUGAACUUUGCUGGUCAGGAUAAUGGCUUCAACCAGAAUGAAAUACUAGAAUUCUUAAGAUGGGAAUAAAACUAUUGUUUCAACACUUUUCAGUUUGUAAUGGAAUUUCAGUGCUUACUGACUACAUGAGAAUUGGUUUCAGUAUUGACCUCCUGGAGGAAUUCCCGGAGGAUUACUUGGAGCAAUUCCUGGAGGAAUAUCUGGAGGAAUUACUGAAGGAAUAACUGAAAGAAUUCCUGUAGAAAUCUUUGCAAGAAUUUAAGGAGGAAUCCCUGGAAGCACACAUGGAAGAUUGCAUAGGAGAAUUCCUGGUGGAUUUAUUGGAAGAAUUCCUGCAGUAUUUCAUGGAGACAUCUUUGGAGGAUGUCCUGUAGAAGUAUCUGGACAAACCCUUGGAAGAAUCCCUCGAAGAAUUCCUGUAGUAAUUCCUAGGGGCAAGCUUGCUAUUUGGUGAAAACAUUCGCGAAAUGAUGCGAUUCGCUUUCGACAACGUAUACGUUUUCACCCUACCUCGCUUUUAUCAAAACAACCUCCCGUACGAAUAGCACACGAACAGACUCGACGCUGAUCAGCAUUGUUGGAUGCUCCCUUUCGCCGUUGAGCUGUUGCGUACCAGCCAAGCCUGCUUUUCUUCGCUUUCGAUGCUUUUCGAUCAGCUUAUCGCGAAGCAUCGUAGGCUGGGAACGUUAUUGGUGUGGUGUCGGUACAUGCGAAUGUUGCUUCUGUGUGCGUGUCAAGCGUUCGUGCCGUAGCUUCUAAAACCAACCCAUUCGGUGUUGUUAGACUAUUCGGGUGAGCAUGUGGCGGCAUUGACAGAUGUGUGCAAAAUCGUUUGUGAGUUACAUCAUGUUCGUUUUGCCACCUUUUUACCUCCAGUCAUCGCUGAGCAGUGUACAGUUCAAUCGCAAGCGAUAAAAAUACAAUUGAUAAAUUGAUUGAGCAUUCGUGAGGUGAUAUCUUGCAUCAUUGCCUAGGGGAAUUCCUGGUGGAAUUCUUGGAAGAAUCCCUGAAGAAAUUGCUGGAAGAACCUCUGGAGGAAUGCCUGAAGGAAAUCCUGAAGGAAUGCAUGGAGGAAUCCCUGAAAGAAUUCUUGGAGGGAUCUCUGGAAGAUAUCCUGGUGUAAUGCCUGCAGGAAUUCCUGAAGGAAUCCCGCAAGCAAUUUCCAGAGGAAUUCCUAAGGGAAUUACUAAACAGUUCCUGGGGGAAUUACUGAAUUUAUUCGUCUGGAUGUUCCUUAAGCAAUUCAAGGAGGAAUUCCUAAAGGGAUCCUAAGAUGAGUUCCUGGGCGAAUCUUUGGAGGCAUUUUUAAAAUAAGUUGUUUCGAAAGAAUCACAGAAGGAAUUCCCGAGUGUAGCCUUGGAGAAAUUCCUGGAGGAUCAGUAAGGACCCGAUUUUGUCAGCCCCAUUUUGCAACAAACUUUUUGCUCUCGUUAUCUUACGGUCAAAUUUUAUCCAAUUCAUCCAUGUUUAUCAUCAAACUACAGCUUAAGGGCAGAACAUAGAGGGAUAAAAAGUUUCAAAAGUUGUUUAGGUUCACGAGGAGAGCAAAAAAUGUGUUCCGAGAAGGGGCUGACAAAAUCGGGUCACUUUACUAGAGGAAUGCGUGUAGGGAUUCCCGGAGGAUUCUCUGAAGAAACUCCUGGAGGAAUCUCUAGGAGAAUUCCUGGAGGAAUUUCUGGAGGAAUUCCUAGAGAAAUCUCAUGAGACAUUUCUGAGGGAGUUCCUGGAGGAUUUUUUACAGGAAUCCCUGAAGCAAUUCCUAGAGAAUCACUGGAAGAAUUCCUGGAUGGAUCCCUGGAGAAAUUCGUGGAGGAAUCCCUUGAGAAAUACCCGUAGGAAUCCCAGGAAGAGUUGCUAGAGUUCUACGUGGUUUAUGAACAGCCCCAGGAAUCAUCGGGAAAAUUCUCGAAGAGGUCUCUGUAAAAAAAAAUCUAGCAAAAUCCCUAGAACAACUACAGGAGAAAUACUUUUAAUCUCUCCAGAAGUAAUCCCCAAAUGUACUCCAUGGCUAUAGAGCAUGAUUAAUGGACAACCUCUAAGACAUGUAGAAAGUCCUUUAUUUAAAAUGCAAGCGCCACGUUGCGCUUAGAUUGCAUACAACAUUCUCCACAACUUGAGAGCCAAAGACUUUUCGACAUCUUUGCUGAGGAUCUUAACUUUCUAGGACGUCAGAAUAAUGGAAUCUAACAUAUCAAAAAGCUAUAUAUAAAAUGCAUACUAGUACAGUACCACUAGACCGGCCCAAAUACAAAAAUGUCGAAAAAUUUCACGGGGCACCCUCUAGAAUCGUGCCUUUAGAUAAGAAGAACAAUCUGUGAAAGAUUCAGCUCAAUCGGUUGAAAACUGAGCUGGCGCAAAUGAGUAGAAGGUUUGUAUGGGAUGUUCAGUCCAAAUAUAUGAGAAAAUGGAUGACCUCCAGUCUCUCAUACAGCACGCCGGUUUGGCGAGUUCGAUUUGGCUCAGAAUUGAAAGAAUAACAGUUGAUACCCUAAUGAACAACUUUGUAGAAGACCAUAUCAUGAUAAAACUUAAUUUAGUAGCGGUUUUAGCCAACGAAACCAGGAUUAGGACAUCUUCCCCCGUUUACUCUCGAUUGUUAUAUGCAGCACGUGUUGGUCGGCCGUAGCUUGCGCGCUACAUCAUAGGCAGCUAUGUAAUUCUACAUUGUCUCGAUACUCACCCACAUGCGUGAGCAAUGGAAAUGAAGGACAACAUAGCCGCCUAUGAUGUAGUGAGCAAGUUUCGAACGGCAAACACGUGCUGCAUGUAACAACCGAGAGUAAACGGGGGAAGAUGUCCUAAUCCUGGUUUCGUUGGCUAAAACCGCUACUAAAUUAAGUUUUAUCAUAUGAUAUGGUCUUCUACAAAGUUGUUCAUUAGGGUAUCAACUGCUAUUCUUUCAAUUAUGAGUCAAAUCGAACACGCCAAACCGGCGUGCUGUAUGAGAGACUGGAGGUCAUCCAUUUUCCCAUAUAUUUGGACUGAACAUCCCAUACAAACCUUCUACUCAUUUGCGCCAGCUCAGUUUUCAACCGAUUGAGCUGAAUCUUUCACAGAUUGUUCUUCUCAUCCAAAGGCACGAUUCUAGAGGGUGCCCCGUGAAUUUUGAGAACUUUUUUUUCGCUUCAUACAAAUGUGGGUCGGUCUAAGUACCACGUAUCAGUGAAGUUGCGUACCAAAUUUUACGCCAUUCGAGAACUUCAAGAGUUCUGAAAAACUGAACACAUGAACUUCGUAGGUGAUCUGGAUCAUGCGAUGGAGCAUCUAAAAAAUACACAAUAGCAACACGUAGUAGUGGUAAAAUUGCGUACUAUACUUUCCACCAAUUGAAAAUCAUUAGCUUUCUGUACAAAUUUGCUAAAUACACGAACUUUCUUAAUGGUUGAUUCAUUAAUUGGAGCAUGUUAAGGGGAAAUAUCAGAGGAUACAAAUAUGGCUGCCACAAUGGCCGACUUGGACCCCUACUCACGUUUACAAGAGCACCAAUCUUAAAAAUUCGUAAACAAAUGCGCUCGAUUUGCAAAAGCUGCCUUUUUUUGAAAGUGAGCAAAGCCAGGAUAAACAAGUGCGACUUGGUUCGAUGCUGCGUUCGUCAGAUUUGUUCCUCUAAAGUUUGUAUGCAAAAUUGCAAUGGGAUUUUUUGAUAUUUCACCUUAAACACCGUGUAUUUCCCACCAUGCAGCGGUAAAAUAAUACUGAAUCAACAAUAUGCCGCCAGAAUACUCGAUUUGCAGCUCCAGCCUAGGCUCCAGCUCUCCAACGUCACACACCAAAAAUCGAUUGAAGGUUUCAGCAAAACGCUUUACUGAAACAAAAUCAGCAAAUUUUGAGUUUACUGAAAAAAAACAGCAAUCCGGGUUAGUUAGCUGAAAAUCAGCAAACUCGCCUGGAUUGCUGAAAUUUCAGCAAGUUUUUCCGAUGCCUCGCCGGCUCGGAUGGUCAACUGUCAAAACAAAAGAAAAAAUGCAAAAAAUAACUUUGUGCUUCGCUUGCGUUUUCCCAUCGUCAAUUCCAGUUUUAAAAAUUAGCUUUAAUUAUACUGUGCGUGUUUGAACCCGAAAUUUCUGCGACACCUUUAUAGAACAGGUUGGUAUCAAAAGCAAACAGUGUUAUUAUUCCGCAUCCGAGUUUUUUCAACGGUAAAUACAUGCCGAAUUUUAACACUUUCAGAUGCUAUACAGAGUACUUUCCCAGGCUCUAAACGUUCGACAAACGAUUGCUAAUGGCUUUCUUGGUGGAUUUCGCAGGAUUAUCGUCAAUUCCAGUCGAUGUUGUAAUUAUAUAUGUUGCAUACAAUAAAGUCAUGAAAAUAAAAAAAAAAGUAUCUAAAAGCAAAACUCGAAGGCUGAUUUUUAUUUUUUUUUGUAUAGUUUACUGAAUUCUAUCAGCAAAGUGCUGGCAAAGCUCACGCCGGUCGAAACAACUGAAUUUUCAGCAAACUCCAAAAAUAUGCUGAUUGUUCAGCAAACAAUUGACGUUUACGAUGACACUUGACAUUGCUGAAAUUAUCAGUAAUUUUUAUUGCUGAACAGAUUGCUGUAAUUUCAGCUCGGCAAAAUUCAGCAAAAAUUUUCUGGUUUUCAGCGAAAAAAAUUUGGUGUGCAGUCACACCCAACGCUCGCCAGAUCACGCUCUACCUAGUCCGCCCAUCGUGCUCUCUGCACUGCACGGUUGCUUGUACCAAUCGGUUGGUUAGCAAACACCAACUUUGAGUUUUGUUCGGCAUUCUUGCACCAUGCCUUGCCCACCCUGCUUUAGCCACUUUCAGGAUGUUGGGUUCAUUGUACAGUGCAGCAGGCUCGUGGUUCAUCGUUCGUCGGCUCACGUCGUUCUCCUACACGCCACCGAAGAUCGUCCAUAGCACAUUUCGCUCGAAAUCUCAGAGUGCGUGCAGGUCUACCUGGAGCAUGGCUCAUGUCUCGUGUCUGUAGAGGACCACCUGUCUUAGUAGCGUAUUGUACAGGGUACAUUUGUUGCGGAGGCGAAUUGGCGUUUUUGACCACAGUUUCUUCUGGAGCCCGCAUAGUACGCCCGACUUCUACUGAAAAUGCGCCUUCGUAUUUCACAUUCCUCACGUUAUUGUUCGCUGUUAAUAAGAAACUAAGGUAGACGAGUUCUUCUACCACCUUGAGAGUGUCCGCAUCUAUCGAAAAAUUGCUGCCAAGGCUUGUCCUGUCUCGCACAGUUCCAGCAUGUACUUCGUUUUAGCAUUUAGCUGCAUUCAUUAUCAGUUCGACUUUUGCUGCUUCACGUAACAGGCGCGCAUACAGAUCUGCCACCGUUCCAAAUGUUCUAGCAAUAACAUCCAUGUCAUCUGCAAAUCAGAUAAAUCGGCCGGUUUUCGUGAACAUCGUACUCCGGCUGUUGAGCCCGGCUCGUCGCAUUACACCUUCCAAGGCAUUGCGGAAUAGUAGGCAGGAAAGCCCAUCACCCAGCUGCAGUCCCAAUCGAGACUCGAAGGAAUUGAUUAGUUCACCCGAAAUCUCUACGCUGUUUUGGAUACCGUCCAUCGAUAGCUUUUCUAGUUCAUGAUUUUUCAUAGCACUGUGCUGUCGAUACUGUCGUAUGAUCGAUGAAACCGGCUUGGUAACAUCCCACACAAAACUCAUUUUCUUCAGGUGGCAUUCUAAAUGAUGAUCGCUCAAAACUUCUCACAUAUUAUCAUAUAUGGAAUCAUUCCAGGUAGAUUGAUACAUAUCUUAAGGAGAGGCAAUUGUUUAUUCUUAAAGGAGUACUUUUACUGAAGGAAUCCUCAAUAAUAUGGCUAAAUAUGACUCUUUCAACAAGUGUUUCGGAAACACCUCUUCUUACCCAUCUAGCCGUAAGAAUAAUGCCUUCUUCUAAUUUUAGUGCUCUUUUGACACUUCGACAUUUAACUAACUCAGAAUCUCUUGGCAAUGUUUAUUUUGAAUUCCUAUGGCAAAGAUAAGGCAGAUAAGAUGCCACUCUAUGACUAAGACAUUCUAGGAAAACGCUAAUACGGAAAGUUUCAGAGCGAGCGGGAAUCGAUCCAAUACACAUAACCUGAAGUCAAUGUAAUCAAAUCCUUUUUAUCAAAGUACAUUGGCUUAUAUGUAAUACGAUUCUCAGCUGCACCAAGCUGCAUACUAUGCAGAAACGCCAUUCCGUCGUCGAACUGUAAUAAACAUCCGGACCACAAUCCGACACCGAACGAACGGAUUGCAAACCCAAAUAAACACCAUACAUACCGCAAUAAUCGAAUCGUUCAUCAAAGGGUCGCCUCAUAUCGUUUCGUUGUUGCGUUGGAUGGUAACCUCCGUCAGACCAAGAGGGGCAAAGUUCUACCUACUGAUGAUGGAGGCAUUCGGAGAAGAUUGGAAAAUCUACGAGCGCCACGCACGAAAGAACGCGCGCGCGAGAAUUUGAAAAAGGGGAAUCAUCCGGUAUUUAGUUUAUUGCUUUCCGCCCCCGGCUAGAAGAUACAUAGGUAGAUAUGAGAAGGUUCGAUGCAAAAUUCACAGCUGAGUAAACAUAUGCCGGUGCGGUACCGGUUGGUGUGAAGUCAGUUUGACUGUCUGAUGGUAUGUAGGUUUGAUAGUCUUUACCAUAGUGUUUGAGGAGAAGAAAUUUUUCUUUGCUAGUGGAAUUUGCAUAUGAGACCGAAAACGCAGCAAAAUGCAUGUAUUAUUUUCCUCUUGCAGAUGAUGAUACAAGAUGAACCACCACGGCAUUCUUUUUAAGCGAGAGAGUAAAGAAAUUAAACAAAAGGGUUUUGUACCAUUUGGACAGGUGUACCUAUUUUAGCCACUUGUCACUAUAACUAAUGCCUGGUUUACAUGGAGCAAGUUACUUGACUCAAGUCUAUGAAAAAUGCCCAAAUGAAUGCGAAUUGAACGUGCAAACACCACCGUUCAUCUCAGUUGAGCAACUGACUUGACUUGAACGAAAGUUGAACAUGUUGAACUUUUUUGUUCAAGUCAAACGAAAUCAUCUCACUUGCCCUGUCUGAACCCGCGAUUCAUGUGAGUUGAAUUCAAGUCAAUUCAGUUUGCUUACGCACUGCAUGAAUUGAGCAAUGUAAACACUUGCUUCAAGUGAAAUGCAUUCAAGAGCAUUCAAGUGGCCGUUCGAGUCUAAGCACAUCAUUCAUUUUGAAUGAAUUAUAUUUGAAAAUUUUUAAAUAUAUUUGUGGAUUUUGCAAGUGAAAUGCUCGUUUUAGUUGAACAAUGUAAACCAGGUAUAAGUUAAUUCCAUAUCCGUUUCAGGAGGGAGCGCAAAAAAGUGAAAUCUCCGUACAAAUGACUCAACUUUGACUUUCCAGAACAUUUAGAUUUCCCAACAAAACAACAAUUACUGUUCCUCAUUUGUAAGAACUACUGUUAAUCUUUCUAUUUCCAGCUUUGACUACCUAGAUGUAAAUCGGAAAUAAAAAAUAUACGACAGAUGAAGCUUUUUCAUGUUUUACGGGUUUUGUCUAAUUUUUGUUUAACUUGUUUUGGUAAAUCUCACAGGCAACAUAACAAAAGUUUGUUUGCACACAAACAAUUAAAAGUGAUGGCCAAAUUAUUGAAACAGUUUACAUCACAUAAAACAAAGAGUAAACAGAUGAAAAAAUAUGCAAAACUGUUAUCGCUCAACAGCGCAAUUGUGCUGGUUCGUCCAAUUUAUUUGAUCUUUUAUAUAGGGUUAGAUACUGUGCGUACAUCACUGUGUUGCAAAAAAUCAGUUAUUAGUUGUGGAAUCGACUAGUUAGUUGUUAGUUGUAGCAGCAAGUGCCCAAAAUAGGUACACUUGCUCAAAUAGCGCAGGGCUCUGCAUUUAUGUGGAAAUACUAGAACUAGAUGCACAAAUUUUAGUUUACUCUUUGAAAAAAAAGUGGCGCGAGGCGAUUUACGUGAAAUACGGGUCGUAGAUUUUUGUGUAAAUGAACUCUAUGAACUGCUAAAUACGACACUUGCAAUCGGAUGUCAUAAUUCCUAUUUCACUAUCACUAUUACUUUUAAGUUGUUUAGUAGAAUUUGUUUGAUUUGAAACACUAGGUCAAUGUAUUAAAAAUUCAAGUCCUACUUAAAACAAAAACAAUUACGUAUGCAAAAUGACGAUUGUUAUAGGACCAGGCUCUGUCGCUUCCAAACCUCUGGGAAGACUCCCUCGACAAUGCAUUUCUGCAUAGUAGAUCUGAACAUCCCUGGAGCCUCUGGAAUAGCUACUUUAAAGGACAGCUUCGGAAAUUCGGCAACCGUGAAUACCACCUGUCGUUUAUGAUCGGUGCAACUUUCGCCUAGCCCCUAGACAGUAGGCUGUGGCUUAUUUUUCAAAAGUCGUUGAAACCAGGGCUUCGUAAGCUCUUCUGAAUUCAAAUGACAAAAAAAGAGAAACUUCUGAGUUUGAGCCAAAAAGAAUUGAGAUUGAGAGGUGGCGCAAUCGCCUCAAAGUUGAAUUUUCGAGUAAUAAAAAGGUGUUUUCACUUCAAGUGGCAUAACUUUCUCAAUUUUCAACCGGUUUUCAAUUUUUUUAUUAAUGUCUCACAAAUUAAAUUUCAAAUAAACUAGUAGAACAUUAAACUUUUCCAAAGUCACGCUGUUGCGAAUAGAUCCUAUACGUUAGGCUCUUUUUGGAACGCACCGCCGUAGCUGCCUAUAGGGCACUGCAUGAAAUUUUCUCCUUCUCUUUCACUCUUACAGAAAUAUUGUAAACAACAAGGCCAAGAAACGUCAAAAUCCCAUGCAAAAUCAAAACAGUGCAGUGCCCUAUACAGGAUUUGAGAACGAAGUGCAGUGCAUUUUAGUUCGCGAUAGGUGGAACAAGUACAAAUUGUGCGCUAUUGUUGGGCGACUUGUCCGUGAGCUGAUACUACAAUGUAUUAGUUUUUAUACUGUAAUUAUAUAGAAAUUAAUUAUUCUUUAAUAAAUUUGCAGUUAUUGAAGCUGCUUGGAAUAUGAGCUGCUCUCAAUAUGGUAUCUUGGCUUCGAACGUACCACACGCCCCAACAAAUGGUCCUUCGAGCCGUUGCGGAGGCCAGUCAUCCUUUGCGCGAUACACCCAAGAUCACGGAGACAAAUUUCGUUCGUUUGAAACAAAAAUAUUCGUGUUUAUUCGGUAAAUUGAUAAAAUAUUUAAAACCAAAAUAUUAAUUUUUAAAACUAAUUCAAUUACAUAUUGAUUUCUACAAUACCCAUUCAAGAGCCCCCCGUUCCGCCGUCGAGAACAUAAACAAAACUCUCAAGUACCAGCUGCAGCACCAAACAAGAUUUCCUCUUGCAAAGAAAAGUCAAGUUUCACCAAAAGUUUUCACGAAAUCCCACUGAUUUCGGCAGCGUAUGUUAUCUACAUGAUGUUGGCAUUGAAAGUGCCACGCGGAAAGUGGGUUUUCCUAGAGAAGGAAAUGACUUUGUAAAUUUAAUUGGAAAACAAAUGGUUCCGUAGGGCCAACCUGCCACAAAAAAAAAACAAAACAAAUUACAUUUGUUUCUAACAUAACCUGUCAGAAGAUGCAUGUUUGUUUCAAAAAUGAACUGAAUUUGCUUCAAAUGUGACGUUCGAUUUGCACCAAACAGUUUUGUUUCUGUUGCAUGAACAAAUUGACAAUUUCUUUGAGUUUACCUGAAAUAUUUUUUGAUUUUAUCAUGCUUUUUUCUGCGUGUAAGUGAGAUGCAUUCAAGAGCAUUUAAGUGGCCGUUCGAGUCGUUUGCUGAGUUUAAGCACAUCAUUCAUUUUGGAUGAAUAAUAUUUGAAAUUUUUUGAAUAUUUUUGAGGAUUUUGCAAGUGAAAUGCUCGUUUCAGUUGAACGAUGUAAACCAGGUAUAAGUUAUUUUAAUAUCGCUUUCGGGGCGGAGCGCAAAAAGUGAAAUCUCCAUACAAAUGACUCAACUUUGAUUCUCCAUAACUUUUAGAUUUCCCAACAAAACAACAGCUACUGUUCCUCAUUUGGAAGAACUACUGUUAAUCAUUCGAUUUCUAGCUUUGACUACCUAGAUGAAUAGGAAAUUAAAAAAAUAUACGACAGAUAAAGCCUUUUCAUGUUUUACGGGUUUUGUCCACUUUUUGUUUAACUUGUUGUGGUAAAUCUCACAGGCGACAUAACAAAAGUUUGUUUGCACACAAACAAGUAAAAGUGAUGGUCGAAUUAUUGAAACAGUUUACAUCACAUAAAACAUAGACCAAACAGAUGAAAAAAUAUGCAAAACUGUUAUCGCCCAACAGCGCAAUUGUGCUGGUUCGUCCAAUUUAUUUGAUCUUUUAUAUAGGGUUAGAUACUGUGCGUACAUCAUCGUGUUGCAAAAAUCAAGUUAUUAGUUGUGGAAUCGACUAGUUAGUAGUUAGUUGUAGCGGCAAGUGCCCAAAAUAGGUACACUUGCUCAAAUAGCGCAAGGCUUUGCAUUUAUGUGGAAAUACUAGAACUAGAUGCACAAAUUUUAGUUUACUCUUUGAAAAAAAAAAGUGGCGCGAGGCGAUUUACGUGAAAUACGGGUCGUAGAUUUUUGUGUAAAUGAACUAUAUGAAUUGCUGAAUACGACACUUGCAAUCGGAUGUCAUAAUUCCUAUUUCAUUAUUACUAUUACUUUUAAGUUGUUUAGUAGAAUUUGUUUCAUUUGAAAGACUAGGGCAAUGUAUUAAAAAUUUAAGUCCUACAUACUUGAAAACCCCUAUUUAAUCCACCUAUGGUGAACAGAACCCUUCUUAAACUUAUUAAAACUAUUGUUGUAUUAUUUGUAUUUCACAUAUUUAUUUUGUGUGAUGGACCAAAAGUUCUAGAAAAUAUUGUGGAUUAGGCAACUAGUGGAUUGGUUUCCAAAAUAGCAUCAUGGACCAUGGACUAAACUACCAGAAAUGCCAGAAAUGUGGCUCCGUGGUCGUGCGGCUAGAGUCACCAAGCUCUUAGUCGCAUCGUGCUGAGGAGCGCGGGUUCGAUUCCCGCCGCAGCUGUCAGGAAAAGUUUUCGGCUGUGCCACUGGGCGUUGCAUGCUAGUCCGUUGUCUAGUGUCGUGCUUCCUUCAAAGAGCGAAAAGCUCACUGGAAGCAUUGAACGUGUCCGUGUCUUGUUAUUAUUAUUAACUUCUAGAAUCUUGUAUGAUUUAAAUUAGCUUACAUAUUCUGGAAUAUUGUAUCUUUUGUUAACAGCCAAAAAAUCUUGAAUCGAUUAACAAAUGGAUAAGAAAAUCAGCGAGAUACACUUUGUCUAAUAUCUCUUAAUCAGUCGAAUAAAUUAGCUCCGAAGUACUUGGUAUUCAUGAUUAUGGUGUAAAAAGGACAAAAAUUAUAUUUCUACUAUGUUAAUCAGUUUUGGAAUUAGCUAGUUAUUUUGGCUGUCCAGUUCUUGCAUUUUUCCCACAAUAUAUAAAUUCAAAGCUUUCAUUUAACAUAUUGCUAGUUUUCAUAGAAUUAUUUGUAAUUUGUUAUUUAUAAUUUUGUAGAAAACAAUAACCUGCUAGUAUACACUUUAUAUGAGGUCAGCAUUAUUUAUUGAACAAUAAUUUCCCAUAGACUGGUCAAAAGCUCAUGCAAGAUAACAAGCGAAUAUAAUAAUAAAUAAAAAAGGAAUUUAUUGAAAUGCUAUUCGAAAGAUAUUUUAGUAACUGUUGCGAAACUGGCAACCCAGUCAGGGCGAAAUCGGAAUGAGCGAGUCCUUGACAGAUCCGAAGAAUGACAUCAGGAACGUCAGGUGGAGUUAGGCAAACAGUACCUAGAUGAAUCGAUGCGAUGACGUGGUGAUUUCUAGUGCUUCGUACAGAAUUUAUAUUCGAUGAAAAUUGCUGAAUUUGUAUUUGAUAUUUGCUGAUAAUUUUGAUAUGUGCUCUGGAAUAGUGGCAGGUCAAUAGCUACCACAUAUCACCUUCUGAAAUCUAACCUACAACUUUGGGUACAUAGGAGUGUUUUUUGAGAAUUUAUAGUUGUCCAGCCAAUUCUAUAAUUCGUAUAGGCGAAGACAGCGACAUUGUUGGGAAUACGGUUUGAUUUUGAUGUACGCACUGAAAUUGUAAGUGAGCACUUUACCCAUAGUUUAAACCCCACUCAUUAAUAAAAUUUAUGUUUUAGCUUGUAGCUAAUGCUAACGAGAUUAAGCGUCCCAUCUCAAUAUUCCCCAACAGUAACCAAAUGUCCAAUCGAAAUAAAAUUUUGGGGCCUUUUACAAGGAUAGUGUAGCUUUCAUUUGGUGCUAAGGGAACCCAAAUCGGUUGACAGACGGCUGAGAUAUUUAUUGUGAUACACUUGGUCAAAAAUCUCUCAAAAGGUUAACCUGUAUUACUCUUUGAAAGAUAUCUCGAUAACCAAAUGACUAAUCCUAAUAAUACUGUAUAAGAUUCUACUAGGAUGUUAUAGCUUUCAUUUGGUGCCAGGAAAACCGAAAUCGGUUGACAGACGGCUGAGAUAUUUAUUAUUAUGAGUUGCGCGAAAAUUUGUACGCGCAGGUGCCCAUACAUCUCCGCCUGUAAGAAAAAUCAAUUCGGUGUUUUCGGCGCAGUAUUCCUUGGCCAAUUCGCGCACUUAUUGUAGAAGACACCAUAACGAUUAAACAUACCAGCGGAGGUCUAUUAGCGAUUUUGCACCUUUUUCGCUCUCUAUUUUCUUGCAACGGGUAAUAUGAUACACUUGGUCAAAAAUCUCAAAAAGUUUAGUUGUAUAAAUUUUAAGUACUCUUCGAAAGAUACCUCAGUAACCAAAUGUCCAAUCGAAAUAAAAUUUCAGAGCGUUCUACUAGGAUGUUGUAGCUUUCAUUUGCAACUAAGAGAAUCCAAAUCGGAUAUCAGACGGCUGAGAAACGUGCGUGACUUUUUUUUGUAACAUACGCACAUACACAUACAACACACACACACACACACACACACACACACACACACACACACACACACACACACACACACACACACACACACACACACACACACACACACACACACACACACACACACACACACACACACACACACACACACACACACACACACAGACAUUUGCUCAGUUCGUCGAGCUGAGUUGAUUGGUAUAUGAGACUCGGCCC